GUACUUUUCCCCGUCGGAAGCACAAAUCCUCAUGGAGGCAUACGAGGAGGUAAAAGAUAUAAUUAAGAAGAAAGGCAACACCGCCACAGUGAUAAAGCAAAGAGAAAAAGCGUGGCAAAGUAUUGCAGACCGCCUGAAUGCAUUAAACAUGAACGGGCCAAAACGGACAUGGCAGCAGGUCAAAAUCAAAUACAAGAACAUUCUGCAGAAUGCAGUGAAAAAGAAUACCCACAGACAAGGCACGGGUGGUGGGUCACCAAAGGCUGACCUUACCCCAGCAGAGGACAUGGCCUUGGAGCUAAAUAAAGGCAGGCCCGUCUUAGAGGGGAUCCCUGGGGGGAAAGAGACGAGCAUAGGUUCCUCCCAAGAUGCCACCCGCUUCAUUCAAGCACUGUGUUCCUGUUAGAGCCACCAGCACAAGCACCAGACGAUGCUGAUCCAGGUGAAGGCCCCAGUGCAGCAGCAACAGCACAUGAUGGAGACGAUGAUGAGGAGGAGACCAUCUCUCUGGAUUCCAGAAGGCAUGAGGACCCAGAUGCUAUACAGUGGGAAAACCAGCCUGGCAACAUAAGCUCACAAGCUAUCAGAAAGUUGUAUGGCAACCACCUCCGGCGCCAAAUAGAACUGGCAGACAUAGACAUUCAGUACAAGAAGAAAAAGA